CUGGUCUUAGCUAAGUGGUUACCACAAUAGAAUCAAAAUCUGUUUUCUCUUGGACUGCGCAGGUUCGAAACCUGCGGACAAGU